rnacentral:antisense_RNA from 1 species
UUAAAUCAUCCAUUUAAAGAUGUCAGACAACCUCCGUGUUCUAAGGACACAGCAUGUACAACCUCACAUAGAGUUCCUGACCAGACAAGACUUGCUGGAAAUUUCCCAGAAUCUUCCUUCCUUAAGCUUGAAUAGCUCUCUGGUUCCAGUUUGAAGCUGAAAAGGUUAAAUUCUACCUGAAAGAUGAAAACAACCAACAUUCUGUGCCAAGACAGUCAGGAGGGCAACUAUGUUUCCUGGUGGAGCCUCUGGAACCACUCAAGCCAAGAUGACCGGGGGUUUGGCUGGGAGGAGAUGGGGAAACUACAGACCCUACAGAUGGUUUCCUGCACCAUGAGGUUAAGCCUGGGGGCAGGAGAGGCUGUGCCUUAGUUCCUUCAUCUGUAAAAUAAAGUAACAUAGUACCU